rnacentral:rRNA from 1 species
UACGUCGGUGGCAAGCGUUGUCCGGAUUUACUGGGCGUAAAGAGCGCGCAGGCGGUCAGAUAAGUCGAAUGUGAAAGCCCCCGGCUCAACCGGGGGAGGUUGUCCGAUACUGCUAAACUGGAGGGCAGUAGAGGGUGGUGGAAUUCCGGGUGUAGUGGUGAAAUGCGUAGAGAUCCGGAGGAACACCAGUGGCGAAAGCGGCCACCUGGACUGUACCUGACGCUGAAACGCGAAAGCUAGGGGAGCGAACGGG